rnacentral:rRNA from 1 species
AGAGUUUGAUCCUGGCUCAGGAUGAACGCUGGCGGCGUGCUUAACACAUGCAAGUCGAACGGAACUGUCAUUUUUGAAGCAAUUAGCUUGCUAAGGGUGGAAAUGUUGGCAGUUUAGUGGCGGACGGGUGAGUAACGCGUGGGUAACCUGCCUUACACAGGGGGAUAACACCUGGAAACAGGUGCUAAUACCGCAUAACAGGAAGAGGCGCAUGCCACUUUCUUGAAAACUCCGGUGGUGUAAGAUGGACCCGCGUCUGAUUAGCUGGUUGGCGGGGUAACGGCCCACCAAGGCGACGAUCAGUAGCCGGCCUGAGAGGGUGGACGGCCACAUUGGGACUGAGACACGGCCCAAACUCCUACGGGAGGCAGCAGUGGGGAAUAUUGGACAAUGGGGGGAACCCUGAUCCAGCGACGCCGCGUGAGUGAAGAAGUAUUUCGGUAUGUAAAGCUCUAUCAGCAGGGAAGAAAGAAAUGACGGUACCUGACUAAGAAGCCCCGGCUAACUACGUGCCAGCAGCCGCGGUAAUACGUAGGGGGCAAGCGUUAUCCGGAUUUACUGGGUGUAAAGGGAGCGUAGACGGUUAAGCAAGUCUGAAGUGAAAGGCGGGGGCUCAACCCCCGGACUGCUUUGGAAACUGUAUGACUGGAGUGCAGGAGAGGUAAGUGGAAUUCCUAGUGUAGCGGUGAAAUGCGUAGAUAUUAGGAGGUACACCAGUGGCGAAGGCGGCUUACUGGACUGUAACUGACGUUGAGGCUCGAAAGCGUGGGGAGCAAACAGGAUUAGAUACCCUGGUAGUCCACGCCGUAAAC